rnacentral:rRNA from 1 species
GAUGAACGCUGGCGGCGUGCUUAACACAUGCAAGUCGAACGGAAAGGCUCCUGCUUGCAGGGGUACUCGAGUGGCGAACGGGUGAGUAACACGUGGGUGAUCUGCCCUGCACUUCGGGAUAAGCCUGGGAAACUGGGUCUAAUACCGGAUAGGACCACAUUUUGGAUGGUGUGGUGGAGAGUUUUUCGGUGUGGGAUGAGCUCGCGGCCUAUCAGCUUGUUGGUGGGGUAAUGGCCUACCAAGGCGUCGACGGGUAGCCGGCCUGAGAGGGUGUACGGCCACAUUGGGACUGAGAUACGGACCAGACGCCUACGGGAGGCAGCAGUGGGGAAUAUUGCACAAUGGGCGCAAGCCUGAUGCAGCGACGCCGCGUGGGGGAUGACGGCCUUCGGGUUGUAAACUCCUGUCGCUAGGGACGAAGCGCAAGUGACGGUACCUGGAGAAGAAGCACCGGCUAACUACGUG